CUAUCCUACUUUUUCUUUAAUUGGUAUCAGAGUCAAGUUCUUUAUGAUAUGAUUUUUUAUAUCUUUAGAUCUAAUUAUAUGUUGUUUAGAUUAGAUGUAAAUAAGUUUUAAUUUUAGAUCUAAUUUUUGAUCAGUUCUAUACAUGUUAGAUUAGAUGAUCUAAAUAGCAAAGUACUCAGAUUGGAUAAUUACCAGGCCG
rnacentral:lncRNA from 1 species